UGCUGUGCUUCCUGUGGAUUCAGGUCCCCCACCUGAUGCAACAGACACAGUUCAGCACAUUUUUGUACUUAUUUUGGAAUGAUAUAUAAACGUUUUUAAACUUUACACAGAACCUCACCACUUGAUCCAACUGUUCCCCCAACACCUCCUGUACUGGUGCCAUUUCCUGAAGUACCACUUCCUGUAUCAGCUCCUGUAGGUCCAAUUGCUGUGGGUCUAAUUCCUGUGCCAGCCCCAAUAGAUCCUGUUGUUCUAGUCCCUGUAGUACCAGUUCCUGUACCAACUCCUGUGGUUCCAGUUCCUGUGGUUCCAGUCCCUGUACCAGCUCCUGUGGUGCCACUUCCUGUGCCAACUCCUGCUCCAGGUCCAACUCUAACUCCAGAACCAGGUCCACCACUGGUUGUUACUGCACCUUGGCCAGGGAGGCCACCACCUACUCCCCCUGCAGAACCAGGUCCAGCCUCAACCCCCAGGGCACCUCCAGCACCUCCAGGAAGCCCUGCAGCAAAUAUGGAUUAAACAUCAACCUGAUUAGGUUCACAGAUCAGUCUUAGCAGAUGACUUUAGACAAAAGAAGAACAAAAUCAAUAGGGCUCGUUGGAUCUGAGUGUCUUACCGUGUUUACGGGCUUUGGCUCCGGCAUAGCCUGAAAAAACAUCAGCAUUUGAGAAUCACUUGAUGAUGUUGAUACCUUUGAAUCUGAAAAGCCUUGAGUAAAAAAUGUAUCUUUACCUCCAGGUCCAUAGCCAGCUCCACCCGGUCCAUAACCAGUUCCUGUCCCACCCGGUCCAUAACCAGUCCCUGCUCCUCCUGGUCCAUAACUAGUCCCUGCACUGCUUGGACCGUAACCAGUCCCUGCUCUUCCUGGUCCUGCUCCACCUGGCCCAUAACCAGUCCCUGCACCACCUGGUCCAUAACCAGUUCCAGCUCCACUUGGUCCAUAACCCGUCCCUGCUCCUCCUGGCACCGCUCCACCUUGUCCAUAACCAGUUCCUGCACCACCUGGUCCAUAACCAGUUCCAGCUCCACUUGGUCCAUAACCAGUCCCUGCUCCUCCUGGUCCAUAACCAGUCCCUGCAUCUCGUGAUCCAUAACCAGUCCCUACUCCUCCUGGUCCAGCUCCACCUGGUCCAUAACCAGUCCCUGCUCCUCCUUGUCCAGCUCCACCAGGUCCAUAACUAGUCCCUACACCACCUGGUCCAUAACCAGUCCCUGCUCCUCCUUGUCCAGCUCCACCAGGUCCAUAACUAGUCCCUACACCACCUGGUCCAUAACCAGUCCCUGCUCCUCCUUGUCCAGCUCCACCAGGUCCAUAACUAGUCCCUACACCACCUGGUCCAUAACCAGUACCUGCUCCUCCUUGUCCAGCACCAGCUGGUCCAUAACCAGUCCCUGCUCCUCCUGACCCUCCGAGUGCCCCACUAAGCAUACCUAUGAGACAAAGAACAGUGCCUUUCUUUUCAACGCAGUAACAUUAUUAUCACAGGUGUCCACGGCUGAUUGUUAUUCUUACCAUAUU
rnacentral:lncRNA from 1 species